CAUCGGUUAUGUUUUGUUUUCAUCUUUGCUUGGCUCUUGCUGGAGCAUUUGAGGGAUUCGUUGGAGUCACUGGUUUGUCCUGGCUGUUCCUGGGGAGCUACUCUUUGCUUGUGACCCCCUGAAAGCAGGGAGAUGUUUUGCAGGAUUACGUGAUCAUUUGGUUGAGCUGAGCUCUGGUGUAUGCAGGUCGCUUCAGGAUAUCUUCAUGCUUGUGACCAGAUGGAAAAUGUCUUUUGCAAUCAACAAAAAAACACGCAUUGAAGACAUUUCAAAUUUUUUUGACAUUUCUGUCCCAAGUUGAUGGUCAGCCUCAUGGCUUGGGGACGUUGUCCAUCAUGAUGAUUUGAAGAAAAGGCUCACUGUAGCUGAUUUCAGGCUGAAGGUCUAUGCCUGGGCUUGGUCUGGAAGAGGAGGAGUCAGGGAACCUUGGCUGAGAGCAGAGCAAACAUGUCCUUCUGUUUAGACGUUGCUGUAUAGUUCUUUAUUUCUUCUGCCUAAUGUAGACACACCCAUAAUAAUCUGCUCCCAUAAGGUUCUUGUUACAGGCUCCUUAAUGUCCUCGAAAACUAUUGGUCUAUGGCACUUGUCCUUUUCAUAACUCCUUGACCAUAAUUCUUAUGGAUCUGCCUGACAAGAUUUGCACAUUCAUUGUGUCCUACAAAUGUGCCGUAUCUAGAAUUUUUCCAUAUUCCUUGUUAAACUAUAGGAACCUACUUUGCCCUACACUUGCACUUUCCUGAAGUGUUCUAACAAUAGGAAAACUUAACUGAAAGUAGCCACUGUUAAGUCUUUUGACAUAUUUGAUAUAUUUCUAGAGUAUCUAAUGAGUUACCUUACUUUGUUCUGUAUAGAUUAAAUUUUGAAAAUUUUACAGAUUUAUAAGCUAUUCCCUACUGAGUACAGUCUGUUUCAUUAUAAAAAUAAAUCUGGGUGCACUUCU
rnacentral:lncRNA from 7 species